UUCCUGGUGGUCCAGUGGUUAAGACUGCACUCCCAAUGCAGGGGGCCCUGGUUCAAUCCCUGGUCAGGGAA
rnacentral:tRNA from 1 species